GGGUCCGGACACACUGAGGAUUGACAGGCAAAAGAUACAAGUUUUCUUUGUGAGAGCUUGCAUUGUAAAAUAUGCGAGUCCUUUCAUGAUUAUGUGAUAGGUGGUGCAUGGCCGUUCUUAGUUCGUGGAGUGAUCUGUCUGCUUAAUUGCGUUUCACAACGAUUUAAAAUGCUAUGUUUUCUGUGUUUGCUGUUCGGUUUUAGCUCUUACGGGAGUUUUUAACUUUGAACGCACACGGCGUAGCUUAAAACAAUCGGAAAGCAACGAACGUGACCGCAACCUCUUGUUGCCUUUAUUUUUAAAAGCGUGGAAAAUUUUAUAUUUUCCUACGCUUGAAAAAGGCUUUAAAACUAGAGGGACCGCUGUUCUAUUCUCUUAAACCAGAGGAAGAUUGCGGCAAUAACAGGUCUGUGAUGCCCUCAGAUGUUCCGGGCUGCACACGUGCUACAAUGAUUGUUGCAGUGAGCAUCUAUUUUCAAACGCUACCGUUGCGGAUUUUGUGAGAAGGGGGAUUUGUUUUAAAGCUUCGGCAGAGAAGCAGGUUCUUUUUUUUUCACAAUUUAUUCCGCGUUACGUGUCAGCUAAACCUGCUUCG
rnacentral:rRNA from 1 species